CGACGGUGACACGGAGCUUGCUCUGUGGGAUCAGUGGCGAACGGGUGAGUAACACGUGAGCAACCUGCCCCUGACUCUGGGAUAAGCGCUGGAAACGGCGUCUAAUACUGGAUAUGUGACGUGACCGCAUGGUCUGCGUCUGGAAAGAAUUUCGGUUGGGGAUGGGCUCGCGGCCUAUCAGCUUGUUGGUGAGGUAAUGGCUCACCAAGGCGUCGACGGGUAGCCGGCCUGAGAGGGUGACCGGCCACACUGGGACUGAGACACGGCCCAGACUCCUACGGGAGGCAGCAGUGGGGAAUAUUGCACAAUGGGCGCAAGCCUGAUGCAGCAACGCCGCGUGAGGGACGACGGCCUUCGGGUUGUAAACCUCUUUUAGCAGGGAAGAAGCGAAAGUGACGGUACCUGCAGAAAAAGCGCCGGCUAACUACGUGCCAGCAGCCGCGGUAAUACGUAGGGCGCAAGCGUUAUCCGGAAUUAUUGGGCGUAAAGAGCUCGUAGGCGGUUUGUCGCGUCUGCUGUGAAAUCCGGAGGCUCAACCUCCGGCCUGCAGUGGGUACGGGCAGACUAGAGUGCGGUAGGGGAGAUUGGAAUUCCUGGUGUAGCGGUGGAAUGCGCAGAUAUCAGGAGGAACACCGAUGGCGAAGGCAGAUCUCUGGGCCGUAACUGACGCUGAGGAGCGAAAGGGUGGGGAGCAAACAGGCUUAGAUACCCUGGUAGUCCACCCCGUAAACGUUGGGAACUAGUUGUGGGGUCCAUUCCACGGAUUCCGUGACGCAGCUAACGCAUUAAGUUCCCCGCCUGGGGAGUACGGCCGCAAGGCUAAAACUCAAAGGAAUUGACGGGGACCCGCACAAGCGGCGGAGCAUGCGGAUUAAUUCGAUGCAACGCGAAGAACCUUACCAAGGCUUGACAUAUACGAGAACGGGCCAGAAAUGGUCAACUCUUUGGACACUCGUAAACAGGUGGUGCAUGGUUGUCGUCAGCUCGUGUCGUGAGAUGUUGGGUUAAGUCCCGCAACGAGCGCAACCCUCGUUCUAUGUUGCCAGCACGUAA
rnacentral:rRNA from 1 species